rnacentral:tRNA from 1 species
GGCCCGUUCGUCUAGCGGUUAGGACGCCGGCCUCUCACGCCGGUAACAGGGGUUCGAUUCCCCUACGGGCUA